rnacentral:pre_miRNA from 1 species
AACUGCGGAAGAACCUUCUUCCGUGCCAUCUUGCGGAAGAACUUCUUCCCCAGGAAGCCACGGAAGAUGGUUCUUCCGCGAGAUCGCACGGAAGAAGGUUCUUCCGCUGUU